AUCACUUCUCGGCCUUUUGGUUAAGAUCAAGUGUAGUACCUGUUCUUAUCAGUUUAAUAUCUGAUACAUCCUCUCUCCAAGGACAUUAUAUUAAAUGUAUUUUUGGAAUAGGGAGAUGGAAUAGGAACUUACUCUGUCCACGCAUCGACCAGGUAUUGCAGUACCUCUGGGAAUGGUGCACCAGAA